GACGAACGCUGGCGGCGUGCUUAACACAUGCAAGUCGAACGGGAUCCGGGCUUUCGGGUUUGGUGAGAGUGGCGAACGGGUGAGUAACACGUGAGUAACCUGCCCCCUUCUUUGGGAUAACGUCGGGAAAUCGGCGCUAAUACUGGAUAUUCUUGCUGCAUCGCAUGGUGUGGUUUGGAAAGGGUUUCUGGUGGGGGAUAGGCUCGCGGCCUAUCAGCUUGUUGGUGGGGUGAUGGCCUACCAAGGCUUUGACGGGUAGCCGGCCUGAGAGGGUGUCCGGCCACACUGGGACUGGGACACGGCCCAGACUCCUACGGGAGGCAGCAGUGGGGAAUAUUGCACAAUGGGCGCAAGCCUGAUGCAGCGACGCCGCGUGAGGGAUGACGGCCUUCGGGUUGUAAACCUCUUUCAGUAUGGAACAAGGAUCCUUCUUUUGGGGGGUUUGAGGGUACGUGCAGAAGAAGCGCCGGCUAACUACGU
rnacentral:rRNA from 1 species